CGGGGGAUUCCUGCAGGCUGUAUUCCCAUCGGACGCUCUUCUGGUCCUCGGAGAGGACGAGGCGAGGGUGGGCCGUCUCCGGGUCCAGAGUCACAUUUAUGUGUUCCUCAAAACAUCUUCUUGCUUUUGCCUUGUAGUGCUCGAGCUCUGCAGUGAGUUCAUCAAUUCUUCUCUCUCGUUUUUCAACUUCUGUUGAGAGUUCAUCAAUUCUGGCAUCAUGUUCCUCCCUCUCCAGAUCACUCUCCUCAACUUCCCG
rnacentral:lncRNA from 1 species